AAGCCAAUGAGGAUUAUUAUCUAUUUAAGUUGGAAUUACCGACUGAAUUACUUAUUUGAUGUCAGAUUGACUAUCUGAGGCUUCAA